rnacentral:misc_RNA from 1 species
UUACAGUAAUUUAAUAGUUUUUUUAAUCAGCAACCUUGUCUAAUCAAAUGAGAACAUGUACCGUCACAUACAGACUUUGCUAUAAGCACUUGACAAUAAGGCCACAGAAGCCACUAUAACACAAUUUAAACAAACAAUAAAAUUCUAAUCAAUACUGAAACAAGCAACCUGUACACAAACGAAGCACCUUGACCUUUAUCACGUCCCGCUCUAUUCCCCCUUUAAAACUUAUAGGUAACACUACAAUCCAUCCUCUUACCUAAUUUACCAAGCCUUUACACAAAAUUUACAUAAAUGUUAAAACAAAAUUGCCAACUGAAAAAUGGGGACAUAGAACAGAAAUAAUUAGCAACGGACUGCUUUAGCUGUUGCUUUCAUUUUACUCUGGCAAGAGCUACUUUGUCUGCUGAACAAGUCUUAUUCAGCAUUAACAACUAAUUUUUCUUGCUUAGACUGACAUGGCACAGUAACUGAAGACAUAACACUCACCUGUCAGGGUCAAGUUCAAGUCCCCACUCUCCCGAUAUACUAAAAAAGAAAAAAAAACCAAUUUUCCUCCAGGCCUUGACAACCAACUUAUUUUCUUAGAGGUUGAGAGCUAAAUUUUGCAAAAAUAUCUCUGUUCCCUUCCUAUUCACCUCGGGGAAAUGAAUCCUGUCGAGUUAAUGCAUAAUUUCCAUCUGGAGGUCUUUGAUUCUCACUAUUUACAGUGUCUACUUUUGAACAAAGGAAGAAGAAGGAAGACGAAUAUAUAGUGACGUGCCAUAAACUGUGCCAUAUCCAGUAGCUUUCACUGCUUUCCAGUUUCCAGCUUAUGGCCGCCAUAGUCAGUGCAGUAAACCCCGCAAGUACAAAACCCCACCGAAAUCUUCUCCAAAGUGUCUUGAUUAAAUUAUUGAACCAUCCCCUAAUUGUUUGCCAUCUGGUGGGUAUAUUCAGACAGAAUUCUGUUGAAAAGGAAAGUGACCUAAUGUGGGUGGAGAACUCUAUUAGCCAUCCAAUAAGAAGACCAAGUGCCCCAAUUGACAUCACAAGAAUGAUGUUGGAAGACCUGCAGAAUUUUAUCAAGUUUAAAUACUGAAAUGCAAUUUGUGUCCACUAGAUGCACCAAAUGUGCUUGAACUGCUUAUAUAAUAUAUACCAGUUCCAAAUACCUGGUAGCCUUAGUUAUAGCCAUGAGGGCUGUAAGAAUGGCAACAACUGUCUGAAUUGUCCUUUUAUACACUUCAUCAAUGGUAGUUAAGUAUACAAAGGUGCUCACCACAGCCAUGAAUGAAAGCCAAAAGUCCAUGAACUGAAACAUUUUCCAUUUGAAUAAAUAAUAUCUCAAAACCAGUAAAAAAUAAGCUCUCAUUUUUCUAACAAAGUAAUGUGCAAACAACAAAACUGGACAUAUUAAAUAUGAAUGUGUACGUGUUUGCACGCAUGCACAUUUGAGAGCGUGGAAAGAGAUGCAAAAUUAACACUCAACCAGAAGAAAUGUCUUGGCAAUAUCCUCAAAUGGCUUCCCAGUUUUGUAUUGUGUUUCUCAUGUCAAAAGGUACACAAAAUCCUUUGACAAUAGUUUUCAUGAUAUUGUUAGAGAAAAACCUAUGAACAACUCAUCAUUCUAGGUUUGUCAAACAAAUGUAAUUCUACAUAAAUAUUUUACAAGUCAUACCUGUAAGACACUAAAUGAUAAUGCACACCAAGUGCCUACAUCACAGGCAUGAUAUAACCCACUUGAAAUUCCACUAGAUGUGAACAGCACCCAUUCUGCAAAAGCCUUUUGCCGAAGAGCCCAAUAUGCAGGAAGCACAGCUGCAGCAUUUGAUGCAAUAAGAGCAAUUGAUUGCUGUAUGUGGCCUAAAACAGUUUUCAGCUACUCGGUUAGGUAAAAACCACUAUAAUGUAUGCUAUCAAGUACUGACAUUAAUUUCACAUGCAAACCGAAUAUCUUAAAGGAAGAACCAGUGUAGAGCAAAUCUUCUCAUAUAAGCCUCACCUCAUGAACUUGAGAGCAAUAAGAAACAUUUAACCUUUAUUGGCCAACUGGGACUUCCAUAUUACCAAUUUCAUUCACAGGUCAAUUGUUCUUUGAUUUAAUAAGAUCAUUACUUUUCCAAGAUAUAAGGGGCAAACUUGUAAACCACAAAUUGGUCCAUGUAAUUACAGCCUUGUUAAAAAUUAUUUGAUUGCAUUCAGUAUACAAAGAAACAGAGGGUUAGCUAAAGAUGUCCCAGAAUAUCUUUUGUGACCCAGAGAGACAGAGAAGCAAGACAGUAAAACAUAAUGUACCUCGAUGCGAUACAAUUUCGAUGCUACAGUCAAAACCUCCAUGAGUUCGAUCACAAGAGCAAAAGCUGAAAAAGCGAAGGAAAAAAGCAUAGUUACAAGAAUCAUUAUUCAUUAAGGCAAAGAACAUAUGCGGUCUGAAAUUUAAACUGCUACUUGAGAAUCCAAAAUACAUCAACUAUAACCAUUGGGCAAAGUCAUUUAUCAAGAGAUGCAUGCUUUAAUUAGUUUAGCAACCCAUUUCCUCCCUUUUUCCCCCUUUUUAGUUGGUGGGGGAGCGGGUUCCCAGGGAAAAGGAAAUGAAGUGAAGUGGCAGUAUCCAGACCUGUAUGAUGUCAAUCCACUGGCAUCCAAAGCUACUUUGCACUCCCCAUGAGAGGAGCAUCUUCUUGGGCAUCUCUCAACUGAAACAGCCAUGAUAAUUUGGUCAUUUGAAAUAAUAUUGGUGGUAUCCUCAAUCCAAAAGUCCAAGUUCCCUCUUGAACACAUAGGAUGUAAAAAUCAACCUUUUCUUCAGUUGAAUUAUACAGCAAGAACAAUGCAGAACCAUCACUGCUUCUUGUCAUGUUUGCAUAAUAAUAAUCCCAAUUGUCAAGAGAUGGGGAUCCACCAACUCUAGCAUAUAUUUCAUAAUUUAUCUUUGUAUCUGAUGUUAGUUGGAUGUGGAUGUUUCCUCCAGCUGCACAACAAGGAAUGUUCAAGAGAAAGUAAGUCCAAGAAUAUCUGAAUCUCCACCAUAAAAGCCAUUGCUUGAAAGAGGCUCAAGAGGAAAAUUAGCCGAAUUUGGAGACACUUUUCCACUGACUGGCAAAUAAUAAGAUUGAAAAGGGGAGGAAUCUCUCCUGAGAAUGUCUGCAGACAACCAGUCUCAGAUUAUAAAUGAAACUAUUCAUGUGCAUAACUUCAAGCAUUAAUAGAACAAAAUGCUAUAAAACAAUAGCUCUAUAUUAAGUGAAUUUUAAAGCAAGAAAACUAUCAACAUCAGAAUCCCCAGCCACCGAGUCAAUUUACCUAUUCUGACAUACAUAACAAUGCUUCCAAUGCAAACUCCCUAACAAAACCUUGAUCUGAUUUAGAUAAAAGGAAAAAUAAAAUGUAGAUCAAAUUUAUUUUAACACAACUUUUGACACCUGUGCUGCUUUACUAUUAUAAUCUUGACAACCACCGACCAUAAUUUCUUUGGCUGGAGUUGAACUUGGGUCUAAAUAAACUUAAAACAUCCCAAAAAUGCAUUUCCUACACACCCCAGCAAAAAGGUCACUACAGGAUCCCAUGGUGGAACGCAUACCCUUCAUGUUCCAAAUAAUCAAACUUAUAUGUAGGAAAAAAAAUUGUUUUAUAUUUUUAUCCUAUGGUUAAAAUACAAUUAUCUUUUCCAUUAAUAAGUCAGUCUCAAAACACUAUUUCAAUUCAGAGAUUGAGGUCUAUUUCUAAGAUACUAUACAAGCAAAUGCCCAUUGAAUAAAAAUCUCUUCACCAUAUCAUUUGACAUGAUCAAUUUAAGCAAAAACAUAACUCUUUUCAAUUCAAUGCUUCAGGUCUAUUUCUAAGCUACCAUACAAGUGAAUGCAUGUUGAAUAAAAAUCUCUUCACUAUAUCAUUUGAUAUGAUCAUUUAAGCAAAACCAGAAAUCUUCAAAUAAAGAAUUAAACAACAUAGUAGAGAUUUGCACAUCGAUUACCAACUUAGUGUUUCAUAAUCAAGAAGCAGCGCACACAUAUUCCUUGACACCUUACCUCAAGUAAGGUAUCUUUCUGAGGUACAAUUCAAUCCAGCCUUCCCCAAUGGGCAUUGGACCGCUUGCCAUGUAAUAGAAUAGCAAACUUAUAUGUUACUAUUCUAACUCCCACUGACUUCCUUUGAAAGAGCAGGUAGAAUAGCAAUAAACCAACGUCCAACUUUUGGUGAGUAAAUAACCCAAGGGGCUUUAUUUAUGUCACCAGAAUAAUCAUGUAGUGCUGUUGAAGGCAUUGCACAAUGCAGUACAUGAUAAGUUAAAUUAGUUCCACUAGCUUUAGAAGUGUUAUUUGACAGGGCUGUACUGAGACUGGCAUUUAGCGCCAAAAUUGUAAAUUGCUUCAUUACUCCCAAAUCUCCAGUGAAUAAACUUUAACUUACCUUCUCCAUGGCAUGAAGUCUCAAAAUUUUUGCAAGAAACCAUGUUUUCAAUUGUUUGGAAGUUAGCAUCAGAAAUGUUUUUCUGUAGGAUUAUAGCUUUCAGAUAUAUAACAUGAAAGUGGGUCAAUUGUCUGAUUGCAGUACUGGCCCCACAUUGUUGAGGUUGUACAUCCUUCCACACUGACAUUGGCACUAAAAGAGUACACUGGGCCGCAGAUAAUAUGCAACGCCAGAAGAUUUACCAUAAUUUCAAUUUUUGAAUAGUAAUAAUAUUCAAGAAUUCUGGAAUCAAACCUCUCAUUGAAUGGGAGAAAGGAAGUAAAAUUUAAAGAGCUGCAGAAAAAUAAAACCAACAGGAUGUCUUUACCACACUGUAAAAUAUAGCUAUACCUAUAUAGAUGCAAUGUUCAUUGUACGAAAAAAAUCACAAUUAUGCACCUGAGCUGCUAUUAUCCAAGUAUUAAAUUAAAGCACAAAUUCUAGGGCUUCUGAAAAUUUCUGCCGCUUUACAUGCUACUCUGCUAUUUCCUUUAAGCAGCAGUGGGCCACUAUUUCCUUCAAGUGGCAAUGAGAAGAAGCCUUCAUUCUUCCUGUUGUGAACAACCAAAUAAGAAUUUUAGCCAAUCCAGUACUAAUCUCAUGAAUGAGCUUUCCAUGUUACUAAUAAUUCUUUGGUGAACAACUACAGCUAUUUCACUAAAGUUAGUGCCCCUUAUGCUCGCUCACUAUACUCCUCCAAGUCAAACAAUUAUGUGGACAAGCUACUUAAGCAUAAGAAGUACAUUGAAAUCAUAGACUUGAAUGAAAGAAGACAUCAAACAACUAUUACUCAUUAAGAACUAGUUUUAAUGAAUGUUACCAUUUUUUAUUGUGUCCUUGUAGGUAAUGUUACCAUUUUUUAUUGCGUCCUUGUAGGUCCAAUGCAAUUGAAGAGACCAAGAUACCGAACUCCAGGAGACAUCUGAAAAACCAAACUUGUAAGUUGAGCUAUGUUAAUUGUUAUCAACCAUAUGUAUGAUAUAUAAUAAAUUAAUAAAAGAUAAAGAAACCAUGAAAGGCACUUAUGACAUAAACCAUGCUCUGAUAAUACAACCGUUCUAACAAUCUAAACCUGCCUCCCAAAGAAUAAAUGAAAAGAACAAAGUGCCUGUAAACAAUGACAAACCAAACUGUUCAUAUGGAUAAACAUACCUACACUUAGAAAGAUAAGGUGAGCUUCAAGAUUUGGCACUUGCAAACAAAUUUUAAGCCUAUCACAACUAGAAAAAUAUUCAACAAACCUGUUCAUUUGUCAACUCCACCAUUAUAUUUUACUACAUUGGAUAGCACUAAACAAUGCAAGGACCGUGUAGUGCUCCGAAUGAUGAAGAGGACCUAACACUGCAACAGUAAGAUCUCUUUUAGUCAUUAUUUGAUUUGCUUGGAAUAAAGAAACUGAAUAUAGGUGAAUCAAAAUCCACAAUUGAUUCAGAUCAAAUGUAGAAGCAAGACAAAAGAAAGCUGCAGAUAAAUGGAGUGGGAGUCUGCGAACUUCAUAUCAAGCAGACUAACACUGUCAUGAAGAACUCAGCAAGCACAGAAAAAUCAGGAUCUAUGGAGCUUUUAUUGCAAGUUUUUAUUUUAUUUUAUUUUUUAAAAAAAGAAUAGUCCAUGAGAACAAAAAAUAAUAAUAUGAAUAAAUCAUAUUGCCUUUACGUAAUUCCACAAUAGAACUGUUUAGGAAAUCUGGCAGAGGUGGGCUGCCAUCUCUGAAGCAGAUCAUAGGCAGUGUGCUUUUAGGAACCUUUGAUAUGCUUUUAGC